CCAUCCCGUCCGAUCUGGCAAGUUAAGCAACGUUGAGUCCAGUUAGUACUUGGAUCGGAGACGGCCUGGGAAUCCUGGAUGUUGUAAGCU
rfam:Caenorhabditis japonica strain DF5081 Contig18265.6, whole genome shotgun sequence.